AGCUUUUCAAACUUUCUAAUUGAUGGAGGUUUAUAAUUUUGGUAAUAAACCUUUCCAAAAAUAGGCGUAUGCCGAUUAAAUGCAGAGAAGACACGGUAUUCUUUAGUAAAAGGCGAAAGAAUAGCUCGCUUUGUCUUCACUGCUCGGCUCCGUGAAU
rnacentral:sRNA from 1 species